rnacentral:rRNA from 1 species
AUUGAACGCUGGCGGAAUGCUUUACACAUGCAAGUCGAACGGCAGCAUAGGUGCUUGCACCUGAUGGCGAGUGGCGAACGGGUGAGUAAUACAUCGGAACGUGCCCAGGCGUGGGGGAUAACGUAGCGAAAGUUACGCUAAUACCGCAUACGAUCUAAGGAUGAAAGCGGGGGACCGGACGGCCUUCCGCGAUUGGAGUGGCCGAUGUCAGAUUAGGUAGUUGGGGAGGUAAAGGCUAACCAAGCCGACGAUCUGUAGCUGGUCUGAGAGGGCGACCAGACACACUGGGACGGAGACACGGCCCAGACUCCUACGGGAGGCAGCAGUGGGGAAUUUUGGACAAUGGACGCAAGUCUUAUCCAGCCAUUCCGCGUGCAGGACGAAGGACUUCGGGUUGUAAACUGCUUUUGUACGGAACGAAAAAGCUCUUACUAAUACUAGGAGUCCAUGACGGUACCGUAAGAAUAAGCACCGGCUAACUACGUGCCAGCAGCCGCAGUAA